rnacentral:lncRNA from 1 species
GUUUCGGCUAAUAUAUGCAAACUAGUUACAAAAGCCGAUCCUAACGCGAAAAAGUGCGUAACGGGUAACCAAAUGAGUCAUAUACAAGUUUCCUAAGUUAAUAUGCCUUAAAUAUGUUGUGACAUCAUUAAGAUAUCUUCUAUUAUGCCCCAAAUGAAUUUAAACUCAAACUAUGCCUCGUAAGGGCAUUUUGGUCAUUUAAAAGGUUAUAAAAGAGUUUAAAUAAAAUUAUGAGUUUCGGGUCUGAUGUAAUCAGUAAAAAUACUUAAUUUAAUAAGUUAUAUCAGUAGGGUAUAACCUAUAUGUGAAAUUUAUCAUUUCUAACGAUACUAUGCACCGAAUGGGGCAUUUUGGUAUCAAGUCUUAUAUAUCUAAAAUGGUUUUAAGACAUACGAUGCGUUAAAAAUGCUUAAAAACGCUUAAAAAGGCGAUUUUGAGCUUUUCCGGGUUCUUAAAGGAAAGCUGAUAUUUUUACUAUUACAGAAGGCUUAAAAUAUUUUAUUUAUCAUAUUGGAUCAGUAGAAAAAGGUUUGGUAUCAAAAUGUUUGGUAAAACUCAUUUUAUAGCCUAAAAGGGUAAAACCGACGACUACCGAAUUAAGCUUAGAAUUCUAGGUUAUGUUCAGCCUAAAAAUAAAUAAA